GAGCACGUAGGUGGGUUUGUAAGUCAGAUGUGAAAGCCUUCUGUUCAAAGGAAGAACGGCAUCUGAAACUGCAAAUCUUGAGUGUAGGAGGGGAGAGUGGAACUUCUGGUGGAGCGGUGAAAUGCGUAGAUAUCAGAAGGAACGUCGGCGGCGAAAGCGACUCUCUGGCCUAUUACUGACACUGAGUGUGCGAAAGUUAGGGGAGCAAACGGGAUUAGAUACCCCGGUAGUCCUAACCGUAAACGAUGGGCACUAAGUAGAGGGAAUUACCAAUGUUCUCUCUGCCGUAGCUAACGCAUUAAGUGCCCCGCCUGGGGAGUACGGCCGCAAGGCUAAAACUCAAAAGAAUUGACGGGGGCUCGCACAAGCGGUGGAGCAUGUGGUUUAAUUCGAUGCAACGCGAAAAACCUUACCGGGGUUUGACAUGGUAGAAGUAGGAGCCCGAAAGGGUAACCAACGGUAUCCAGUCCGUAACUAUCACAGGUGUUGCAUGGCUGUCGUCAGCUCGUGUCGUGAGACGUUGGGUUAAGUCCCCUAACGAGCGAAACCCUUGUUUUUAGUUACCAUCGGGUUAUGCCGGGUACUCUAAAAAGACUGCCGUCGUCAAGACGGAGGAAGGUGGGGAUGACGUCAAGUCAUCAUGGCCCUUAUACCCCGGGCUGCACACGUGCUACAAUGGUCGGUACAAAAGGAAGCAAGACCGAGAGGUGAAGCGAAUCC
rnacentral:rRNA from 1 species